rnacentral:rRNA from 1 species
AAUGAACGCUGGCGGCAUGCCUAACACAUGCAAGUCGAACGAAGCCUUCGGGCUUAGUGGCGCACGGGUGCGUAACGCGUGGGAAUCUGCCCUUGGGUUCGGAAUAACUCUCCGAAAGGAGUGCUAAUACCGAAUGAUGUCGAAAGACCAAAGAUUUAUCGCCCAGGGAUGAGCCCGCGUAGGAUUAGCUAGUUGGUGAGGUAAAAGCUCACCAAGGCGACGAUCCUUAGCUGGUCUGAGAGGAUGAUCAGCCACACUGGGACUGAGACACGGCCCAGACUCCUACGGGAGGCAGCAGUGGGGAAUAUUGGAAAAUGGGCGAAAGCCUGAUCCAGCAAUGCCGCGUGAGUGAUGAAGGCCUUAGGGUUGUAAAGCUCUUUUACCCGGGAUGAUAAUGACAGUACCGGGAGAAUAAGCCCCGGCUAACUCCGUGCCAGCAGCCGCCGUAA